rnacentral:snRNA from 1 species
UUACUCUGAUUUCUCUGCAUCACGCAAAAAUCUUUCGCCUUUUACUAAAGAUUUCCGUGCAGAGGAACACUCAUUGAGUUUAAACUCAAUUUUCUCUGCCCUUGAGGAAAUCAAGGAU